rnacentral:rRNA from 1 species
CAAGUCGAGCGGCAGCGCGGGGCAACCUGGCGGCGAGCGGCGAACGGGUGAGUAAUGCAUCGGAACGUGUCCAUGUCGUGGGGGAUAGCCCGGCGAAAGCCGGAUUAAUACCGCAUACGCCCGAGAGGGGAAAGUGGGGGACCGCAAGGCCUCACGCGAUUGGUUCGGCCGAUGUCCGAUUAGCUAGUUGGCGGGGUAAAGGCCCACCAAGGCGAUGAUCGGUAGCUGGUCUGAGAGGAUGAUCAGCCACACUGGGACUGAGACACGGCCCAGACUCCUACGGGAGGCAGCAGUGGGGAAUUUUGGACAAUGGGGGCAACCCUGAUCCAGCCAUUCCGCGUGAGUGAAGAAGGCCUUCGGGUUGUAAAGCUCUUUUGUCCGGAACGAAACGGGCGACGUGAAUAUCGUCGUCUACUGACGGUACCGGAAGAAUAAGCACCGGCUAACUACGUGCCAGCAGCCGCGGUAAUACGUAGGGUGCGAGCGUUAAUCGGAAUUACUGGGCGUAAAGCGUGCGCAGGCGGUUUUGUAAGCCAGAUGUGAAAUCCCCGGGCUUAACCUGGGAAUGGCAUUUGGGACUGCAAGGCUGGAGUGCGGCAGAGGAGACUGGAAUUCCUGGUGUAGCAGUGAAAUGCGUAGAUAUCAGGAGGAACACCGAUGGCGAAGGCAGGUCUCUGGGCUGACACUGACGCUCAUGCACGAAAGCGUGGGGAGCAAACAGGAUUAGAUACCCUGGUAGUCCACGCCCUAAACGAUGUCGACUGGUUGUUGGGGGUUUGACACUCUCAGUAACGAAGCUAACGCGUGAAGUCGACCGCCUGGGGAGUACGGCCGCAAGGUUAAACU